rnacentral:rRNA from 1 species
CCUACGGGUGGCAGCAGUGAGGAAUAUUGGUCAAUGGACGAGAGUCUGAACCAGCCAAGUAGCGUGAAGGAUGACUGCCCUCUGGGUUGUAAACUUCUUUUAUAUGGGAAUAAAACGUUCCACGUGUGGGAUUUUGUAUGUACCAUAUGAAUAAGGAUAGGCUAACUCCGUGCCAGCAGCCGAGGUAAUACGGAGGAUCCGAGCGUUAUCCGGAUUUAGUGGGUUGAAAGGGAGCGUAGGUGGAUUGUUCAGUCAGUUGUGAAAGUUUGCGGCGCAACCGUAAAAUUGCAGUUGAAACUGGCAGUCUUGAGUACAGUAGAGGUGGGCGGAAUUCGUGGUGUAGCGGUGAAAUGCUUAGAUAUCACGAAGAACUCCGAUUGCGAAGGCAGUUCACUGGACUGCAACUGACACUGAGGCUCGAAAGUGUGGGUAUCAAACAGGAUUAGAUACCCUGGUAGUC